GACGAACGCUGGCGGCGUGCCUAAUACAUGCAAGUAGAACGCUGAAGGAGGAGCUUGCUUCUCUGGAUGAGUUGCGAACAGGUGAGUAACGCGUAGGUAACCUGCCUGGUAGCGGGGGAUAACUAUUGGAAACGAUAGCUAAUACCGCAUAAGAGUAGAUGUUGCAUGACAUUUGCUUAAAAGGUGCAAUUGCAUCACUACCAGAUGGACCUGCGUUGUAUUAGCUAGUUGGUGGGGUAACGGCUUACCAAGGCGACGAUACAUAGCCGACCUGAGAGGGUGUUCGGCCACACUGGGACUGAGACACGGCCCAGACUCCUACGGGAGGCAGCAGUAGGGAAUCUUCGGCAAUGGACGGAAGUCUGACCGAGCAACGCCGCGUGAGUGAAGAAGGUUUUCGGAUCGUAAAGCUCUGUUGUAAGAGAAGAACGAGUGUGAGAGUGGAAAGUUCACACUGUGACGGUAUCUUACCAGAAAGAGACGGCUAACUACGUG
rnacentral:rRNA from 1 species